rnacentral:rRNA from 1 species
UACGUAGGGGGCAAGCGUUGUCCGGAAUCAUUGGGCGUAAAGCGCGUGUAGGCGGCUCGGUAAGUCCGCUCUGAAAGUCCGGGGCUCAACCCCGGGAGGCGGGUGGAUACUGCUGAGCUCGAGUCCGGAAGAGGCGAGUGGAAUUCCUGGUGUAGCGGUGAAAUGCGCAGAUAUCAGGAGGAACACCAAUGGCGAAGGCAGCUCGCUGGGACGGUACUGACGCUGAGACGCGAAAGCGUGGGGAGCAAACAGG